UAGGGAAUCUUCGGCAAUGGGGGCAACCCUGACCGAGCAACGCCGCGUGAGUGAAGAAGGUUUUCGGAUCGUAAAGCUCUGUUGUAAGAGAAGAACGUGUGUGAGAGUGGAAAGUUCACACAGUGACGGUAACUUACCAGAAAGGGACGGCUAACUACGUGCCAGCAGCCGCGGUAAUACGUAGGUCCCGAGCGUUGUCCGGAUUUAUUGGGCGUAAAGCGAGCGCAGGCGGUUUAAUAAGUCUGAAGUUAAAGGCAGUGGCUUAACCAUUGUUCGGUUGGGAAACUGUUAAACUUGAGUGCAGAAGGGGAGAGUGGAAUUCCAUGUGUAGCGGUGAAAUGCGUAGAUAUAUGGAGGAACACCGGUGGCGAAAGCGGCUCUCUGGUCUGUAACUGACGCUGAGGCUCGAAAGCGUGGGGAGCAAACAGG
rnacentral:rRNA from 1 species